AAUUAAUUUUUUGUCCCCUUAUCACAGGUUUAUUAAUGAUGUGACUGUGUUGUUAUUAAGGCUGUAGAAUGUGUUGAACUACUGAAGCUUGGUUCAAGAAUGACUAGAUUUGCACCUUUUCAAACUCAUCCACAUGAUUAAUAGUGACCUUCUUUCAGAUUCUAUGGCUUACCAACCUUUUCAAAAACUGAUAUAGAUCCUUUCGGCAAUCAAAUGUCAAAGUGUGCAGAUUCUGAUUAUUUACAUGCUUAUGGCUUGGUGUUUGAAGUUCAGGCCUUUAGCGUUUGAGAUGCUUAGAGUUGUCUGAUACCGAAGUUGGAAGCAAUGGCCUCUGUCAUCUUGCUGACAAGAAAUGCAACAGGGUUUGUUGCUCUAGCUAUUGCCGCGGGUUUAGGUGCCUUAACACAUACAAUGGGCACCCUCGUCCCUAUGAUAAGAGCAAGUGGAUUUGCUACAACUACAACUGCAACUGCAACUGCUAUAGAAAUUGUUGUCGGUAGUUUUAGAUAAUCUCUUAAUAGUUGUCGAUAUGUUUAGAAAGUUAGAUAUGCAUAGUUUUGGAUGGUUUAAACUUUUUGUGCAGUUUAGAACUUAAGAAUAUAGUUUUCAAAUGUUUGGAAUGUAUAAACAAUUGUUAAAUGUUUAUAAUUUAUGGAUAUAGUUUCUUUUUGAUGUUUCAAA